rnacentral:lncRNA from 1 species
GUCGGGAUGGAGGCCGUGAGGGGGAGGUAGUGGAAGGUCUGUGGGUGGAGUCCUAAGACAAGAACUUCGGUAGUCUUGCCCUUCAGUCGCCUUGAUGGGUUAUUGAGUACUUUAUCAAUAGAAUAAAAAGAAGAGAGAAGAACCGUUGUUGAGUUAUGAUAGUAUCAACAACCAAUUAUUCUGGAUGACAUGACAUUAUUUGGCUAACAAUCUAUAGAAACUCGAUGCA